rnacentral:lncRNA from 1 species
CCUGUGGCAUAUGGAGGUUCCCAGGCUAGGGGUCUAAUCGGAGCUACAGCUGCCAGCCUACACCACAGCCACGCCAGAUCCGAGCCAUGUCUGCCACCUACACCACAGCACACAGCAACGCCGGAUCCCCAACCCACUGAGAGAUGCCAGGGAUUGAACCCGCAACUUCAUGGUUCCCAGUUUGAUUCGUUUCCACUGAGCCACAACGGGGAAUUCCCAGACCUAUUUUCUACUUGAACCCAAUGAAGGAUUAAAAAUUAUGCAGCUCUUUGCUUUUAAACCUCAUAGAGUUCCCUUGAGAGGUGCUGGCUACAUUUUCUCUACGUGGUUAGGCUCACCCAUUUAAAUGAAGUACACAUGGAUUUUGCCCAGGAAUCCCUGCCCAGAAUCUCCCAGUGGGAAUACCCAUCUCCCCAUGGGUGCAGACUCACCUCUCUGAGGUCAGGGAUGGGGGCCUCCUGAGCCUGCACACCCACCUCUCCUUCUCCCUUCUGCCUGCCAACGCCUGCCUUGGAACUACUUCAUUACUCAUCUUUAAUUCUCCAAGGGAGUGUGAGAAGACAUAAAAGGGGAAAACUAAAUUCCAUUCUGUCAAGUUUGUUUCUCCUUCACAGAUUUGAUGAAAUAGAGAUGCAGGAAGAAAUAGCGGCAAAUAGGAGGUCUGGGGAAAUGCCUUUAAUAAUUCAAUCAAGCUCAUCCCAGCCCCCAGGACAGACAGACACCAGUAGGUUAUGAAUGUGCCUAGGGCAGUGGGACAUAGGAAAACACUCCUUCCUAGGGCAGCCGGAAACAUUUACUACUCUACCUUUGAACUUAGAAAAGAAUGUUAAGAAUCUGAGACAAAAAAAAUAAAUAAAUAAAAGGUUAUGUCUGUACCUCUAGAGUAAUUAAUUAUGUGAGGCUGGACCUAUACCCACAGAACAAACAGGAAAAUUGCACAGACUCCACCCACACUGAGUCCAGCGUAAAAAUAAAGUCAAGAAUUACAUAUAGUCCAGUAUUUAUACCAAUUUCCUCGAACCUCUAAAACCACCAAAAAUCAAUGAUCAGAGUCUCAGCAGAUAAUGCUUGACUUAUGUUUCACUUUUCAACAAAGUGGUACUAUUUUUGGUCAUUUAGGGGGCUUAUUUAAAAAUUAUCAAAAAAUAAAAUAAAAUUACAAUAGAAAAGAAGAGAUUCAAGCAACCACUUCAUAGGCACAGGGUAGUAUCAGAUGCUUUCCGAAUAUCUAAGUAAUAAUUUUAGUUAGGCAUUCUUGAUAGUGGAAUAUGUACAAUGGGAAUGGGGAACAGAUAGAUGGGUACCUGGGUCAGUAGCAAACAAGCCUUUUAUUUUAUUUAUUUAUUUGUCUUUUUUUUUUUUUUGCUAUUUCUUUGGGCCACUCCCGCGGCAUAUGGAGGUUCCCAGGCUAGGGGUCUAAUCGCAGCUGUUCCUGCCGGCCUACGCCAGAGCCACAGCAAUGAGAGAUCCAAGCCGUGUCUGUGACCUACACCACAGCUCACAGCAACGCCGGAUCCUUAACCCACUGAGCAAGGCCAGGGAUCCAACCUGCCACCUUAUGGUUCCUAGUCAGAUUUGUUAACCACUGCGCCACGACGGGAACUCCCAAACAAGCUUUUUAAAAACCUACAGGUAGCAGGUGUUUUCUGGUUGUUGUUGUUUUUUCUUUCUGUUGUUGUGGUUGUUUUGGUAACUUACGGCCACUAAGCAUCAAAAGACUGCCUAACAGCCUGUGUUUUAGUAAAUUUUAGUCAAAUAGUUUAAUGUUUCUGUUUCCCAUUUUUGCAGCCAACAUUCCAGAAGCAGGAUAUAAGGAAACCAUUUCCCCUAAAGGACACAUUUCAGCAGACAGCAUUUGAAAAAAAAUCUCCUCUUGGGAGGGAUAUAUCAGGAGUUUGGGAUUGACAUAUAUACACUCCUAUAUAUAAGACAGACAACCAACAAGGACCUAUUAUAUAGCACAGGGAGCUCUACUUAUAAUAACCUAUAGGGGAAAAGACUCUGAAAAAAAAUACAUACAUACAUAUGUGUGUGUGUGUGUGUGUGUGUGUGUGUGUGUGUGUGUGUCCACUUAUAUGCAGGUUUAUUUCAAUAGUAAGCGCUACAGCAGUACAGGAUCUGCAGUUGGUCAAACCCAUGAAUAUGGAACCAUGGGUACAGAGGAACUGCAAUCCAGAGGGCCAACUCUAUGUUAUCCACGGACUUUCAACUGAGCAGAGGAUCGGCACCCUGACCCCUGUGAUAUUUAAGGGCCAAC